rnacentral:rRNA from 1 species
UACGUAGGGUGCAAGCAUUAAUCGGAUUUAUUGGGCGUAAAGGGCGCGUAGGCGGAAAUGCCAGUCAGAUGUGAAAUCCCGGGGCUCAACCCCGGAACAGCAUUUGAAACUACAUUUCUAGAGGGUAGGCGGAGAAAACGGAAUUCCACAAGUAGCGGUGAAAUGCGUAGAUAUGUGGAAGAACACCAGUGGCGAAGGCGGUUUUCUAGCUUAUACCUGACGCUGAGGCGCGAAAGCAAGGGGAGCAAAC